UCUGCAUGAUGGGUCUUUUAAAGGUUUUUUUUAAUAUAUAUUUUUAAAAGAGCCGUCUUGCAAAAU
rnacentral:pre_miRNA from 1 species